AGGUGGUGUGGUACAGUUCAUUCCUAAUUGGAUGUUAUGUCUCAGAAUGUUUUGGAGCUGAAUACCAAUACUACUAUGUUUGUCACUACUGCCCAGCAGGAAAUGACGCCGACACAAUGAAUACUCCUUAUACAGUUGGAACUCCUUGUGAAGCCUGCCCCAAUUCAUGUGACAAUGGUCUAUGCACUAAUCCUUGUGGAGCUCAAAACAAUUAUUCCAACUGCAAGGACUUUACGGAUUCCUGUAAUUCAUAUUCCAUUCAGGAGGCCUGCCCAGCUUCCUGUUCUUGCAAAAACAAUGAAAUAUACUAACUCCAAAAUCAAUGCAGAGGGAUUACCCAGCUACCUGAUCCUGCAAAAAAAGAAAAAAAAACUUUCUGCACUACUAUUUAUAUGCAUCCUAAUAAAAAAUAUAUUUUGCAUUUAUUUUUAAAUGCUUAUAUCACAAUAUCCUAAUAUGUAACUAUAUAACUACUGUAUAUACCCCCCUCUCUCUCUCUUUCUUUCUCCUUCUCUCUCUCUCUCUCUCUCUCU